AACGAACGCUGGCGGCAGGCCUAACACAUGCAAGUCGAACGCCCCGCAAGGGGAGUGGCAGACGGGUGAGUAACACGUGGGAACGUGCCCAAAGGUUCGGAAUAUUCCCGGGAAACUGGGAGCAAUACCGAAUGUGUCCGCAAGGAGAAAGAUUUAUCGCCUUUGGAUCGGCCCGCGUCGGAUUAGCUAGUUGGUGGGGUAAAAGCCUACCAAGGCGACGAUCCGUAGCUGGUUUGAGAGAACGACCAGCCACACUGGGACUGAGACACGGCCCAGACUCCUACGGGAGGCAGCAGUGGGGAAUCUUGGACAAUGGGCGCAAGCCUGAUCCAGCCAUGCCGCGUGGAUGAUGAAGGCCCUAGGGUUGUAAAAUCCUUUCGUUGGGGACGAUAAUGACGGUACCCAAAGAAGAAGCUCCGGCUAACUUCGUGCCAGCCGCCGCGGUAAUAC
rnacentral:rRNA from 1 species